rnacentral:rRNA from 1 species
GCCCUUCAGGCCUAACACAUGCAAGUCGAACGGUAGCACAGAGAGCUUGCUCUCGGGUGACGAGUGGNGGACGGGUGAGUAAUGUCUGGGAAACUGCCUGAUGGAGGGGGAUAACUACUGGAAACGGUAGCCAAUACCGCAUAACGNCNCAAGACCAAAGAGGGGGACCUUNGGGCCUCUUGCCAUCAGAUGUGCCCAGAUGGGAUUAGCUAGUANGUGGGGUAACGGCUCACCUAGGCGACGAUCCCUAGCUGGUCUGAGAGGAUGACCAGCCACACUGGAACUGAGACACGGUCCAGACUCCUACGGGAGGCAGCANGUGGUGAAUAUUGNACAAUGGGCGCAAGCCUGAUGCANCCAUGCCGCGUGUAUGAAGAAGGCCUUCGGGUUGUAAAGUACUUUCAGCGGGGAGGAAGGNAGUAAGGUUAAUAACCUUAUUCAUUGNCCGUUACCCCGCAGAAGAAGCNCCGGUNUAACUCCGUGCCAGCAAGCCGGCGGUAAUAAGGGCCGAAUUNU